GUGCACACGUCAGGAGCACAUAUUCUAAAACUGAAAUGAUAGAGAGAAGAUUAGCAUGGCCCCUGUGCGAGGAUGACGUGUGUUAGUAUUUUUU
rnacentral:snRNA from 1 species